rnacentral:rRNA from 1 species
UGGGGAAUAUUGCACAAUGGGCGAAAGCCUGAUGCAGCGACGCCGCGUGAGGGAUGACGGCCUUCGGGUUGUAAACCUCUUUCAGCAGGGAAGAAGCGAAAGUGACGGUACCUGCAGAAGAAGCGCCGGCUAACUACGUGCCAGCAGCCGCGGUAAUACGUAGGGCGCAAGCGUUGUCCGGAAUUAUUGGGCGUAAAGAGCUCGUAGGCGGUUAGUCGCGUCUGCUGUGAAAACUCGAGGCUCAACCUCGGGCUUGCAGUGGGUACGGGCUGACUAGAGUGCGGUAGGGGUGACUGGAAUUCCUGGUGUAGCGGUGGAGUGCGCAGAUAUCAGGAGGAACACCGAUGGCGAAGGCAGGUCACUGGGCCGCAACUGACGCUGAGGAGCGAAAGCAUGGGGAGCGAACAGGAUUAGAUACCCUGGUAGUCCAUGCCGUAAACGUUGGGCACUAGGUGUGGGGUCCAUUCCACGGAUUCCGUGCCGCAGCAAACGCAUUAAGUGCCCCGCCUGGGGAGUACGGCCGCAAGGCUAAAACUUAAAUGAAUUGACGGGGUC